UCGUUUGGUUCGGCCAAUCGUGUUUUUGCGGCAUGCAGCUCCCACGCUUAGCCGAAAUCCGAAUACCGGAAAGCGACUCAGCAUUAGCUAGCGCAGCGCGAUGGUGUUGCGGACCAGAAGCCCGACAGACCAUCAGCGUCUUUCGAUAUUUUUAGCGUAUGCGGAAUUCGAAUCCGCUACGCGUAUGCAUAGCAAUAGGAAUCUUAAUUUCCUGUUGCUAUGCGUGUAAUUAUCGUAGUUGUACAGGAUACAACACUCUUCCCCCGCCGGGAAAGAAAAACGAGGAAAAGGAGUUUUUUGCUUUUAACAAUAUAAUACUAAUAAUAUACGAACUUCAUAAUUUUACAAAGAUUGUGUUAUUCUUAGGAAGUGGUGUCACAAAGAACAGAUAGCAACGACGAUUUAGAUGAAUUUACUUGUCACUCUGAAAUGCCAGCUCUAAAAAUAGAUAAUUAAUAGCGAAUUUGAUUGGAUGCACUAGUGCGCACUAGUGCGCACUGGUGCCCUCUUCUAGUGUGUUAUAUUUGGUUGGCGUGCACUCCACUGGUUCAGAAACUAUGAUGUGUUCGAUUGAUAAUGCACUGAAAAGUUCAGUGAUACUUUUAUGUUCGAUUGAACGCACCACACUAGUACAGAAUGCACUAAACCGCACCGAGAUUUUUGGCAGUGCGGUUCAGUGCGUUCUGUACUUAUAGUUUAGUACCAAAUUGAUACAACGUAUAUAAUAGCAGGAGAUGGCAAAAAUAUGAUAGAAAAAAUAUUGUUAUUAGACGAACUAUUAGAUAGUUCAAGCAGUUCCAGCGAUAAAGAGAUAAUGACAAUAUUAAUGAAAUGUGAAAAUAUUCCAAAAGUGAAAAAUAUGAUGGAAAUUAUUAAUAAAUAAUCUGACAAGGAGGUAUGCUAUACGAAAUUUCACCUAUUUUAAAUAUUUGUUAUUUCAGAUUUAAAACAUCUGUUAUUAGUUUCAGCAACAUUUUCGUUUGAAACGAAGCACGUUCGAUAUAUUGAAUAAUAUAUAUUUAAAUUUAGAAAUUUAUAAUACAACAACAGAGCAUGGUGGGCGUAAAACAAUAAAUAGUGAUGUACAGCUAUUAGCUCUCUUAUGGUUUGCAGGAAAUAAAUAUGUGAUACGGGACAUUGCAUCUAGAUUUAAUGUAGCAGAAUCAACUUUUCAUUCUAUCAUAACAAACGUUAUGAAAUAUUUUAAUUAUAUUGCUCCAAAUAUGAUAAAGAUGCCAGAUACAGAAGAUAGAAAAAGAGUAGUUGCUCGUGAAUUUGAAGAUCAAUAGUUAUAGUUCAAGUUACCAGUUGCACUGAGUUGGGUCAGAGUAAAUAACUUCACCUAGGUUAGUGUAAAUACCCGCACUCAGUUCAGUAUAAAAAUACACUCCGAGCAAGUGUGCCUAGUAACAAAAAGUUACCAGCCACUGGAACGGGGCGAGUGCACGCCAAUCGAAUUUGCUAUAAGUAAGUCAAGCUUUCAAUAUUACAUGGCUGGUUACAAAUUCACAUAAUAAGAAGCUGAAUAAUUUCAACUCCAAGGAUUCGCUUAUUAGCAAUUUCGAUGAAGAAAACACAUGGAAUAUGAAAGAUCAACCGCUUUUCUUACACUUAAAAAAAAAACAUACAAAAUAUAUAUAUUUCAAAAUAUAAAUUAAUCAUUAUUUAUGGUUUUUCCUAGCAUAAUUGUAUUACGUUUAUAAAUUCCCAAUCAAAGUAUUGUUACUUAAAAUAAAUAACGGAAAGCGUAGAUAGAUCUGUUACUUGAACGGGAUCCGAUAGCGCACGGUGCAAGAGCCCACCAACCAAUCAUCUUGACUUAUCUAAGCCAACCAACGGAAAAACUCUAGGCAUCGGCCACUGUGAGUGGUGGUGGGCUAUCGGUCCCGCGCGCUAUCGGGAUCCGCCCCUGUUACUUGUGAUUGUUCUAUAAGCUUAAGUUGGUUUAUUUUUAAAAGUAACAAACAUG
rnacentral:tRNA from 13 species